rnacentral:snoRNA from 1 species
UGAUCAAUGAUGACUCCCCCUCAAAAGCAUUCCUUGGAGAGCUGAACAAAAUGAGUGAGAACUCACCUAAGAGAGAGAGAGAGAGAA